rnacentral:rRNA from 1 species
AGAGUUUGAUCAUGGCUCAGAAUCAACGCUGGCGGCGUGCCUCAGACAUGCAAGUCGAACGCGAAAACUUCCUUCGGGAGGUGAGUAGAGUGGCGCACGGGUGAGUAACACGUAGGUAAUCUGCCUUUGGGUGGGGAAUAACAGCCGGAAACGGCUGCUAAUACCGCAUAAUGCAGCGGCAUCACAUGAUGACAGUUGUUAAAGCGGGGGAUUUCGAAAGGAACCUCGCGCCUGAAGAGGAGCCUGCGGCAGAUUAGCUAGUUGGUGAGGUAAAGGCUCACCAAGGCUUCGAUCUGUAGCCGGCCUGAGAGGGCGGUCGGCCACACUGACACUGACAUACGGGUCAGACUCCUACGGGAGGCAGCAGUCGGGAAUUUUGGGCAAUGAGCGAAAGCCUGACCCAGCAACGCCGCGUGAAGGAUGAAAUCCCUCGGGAUGUAAACUUCGCAAGAAUAGGAAGAAUAAGAGGAGGUUAACACCCUCUUUGAUGACGGUACUAUUUGUAAGCUCCGGCUAACUCCGUGCCAGCAGCGGCGGUAAUUC